CUUGGUCAUUUAGAGGAAGUAAAAGUCGUAACAAGGUUUCCGUAGGUGAACCUGCGGAAGGAUCAUUACCGAGUUCAUGCCCUUACGGGUAGAUCUCCCACCCUUUGUAUACUAUACCUUUGUUGCUUUGGCGGGCCGCCUAGCUACUGGCUUCGGCUGGUAAGUGCCCGCCAGAGGACCCAAAACCCUGAAUUAUUAGUGUCGUCUGAGUAAAGAAGUUAAUAUUUAAAACUUUCAACAACGGAUCUCUUGGCUCUGGCAUCGAUGAAGAACGCAGCGAAAUGCGAUAAGUAAUGUGAAUUGCAGAAUUCAGUGAAUCAUCGAAUCUUUGAACGCACAUUGCGCCCCUUGGUAUUCCGAGGGGCAUGCCUAUUCGAGCGUCAUUAUCACCCCUCAAGCCUAGCUUGGUGUUGGGGCUUGCUGUAAAGGCAGCCUCUAAAAUCAGUGGCAGUGCUGUCAGGCUCUAAGCGUAGUAAAUUCAUCGCUAUAGGGUCCUGGUGGAUACUCGUCAAAACCCCCCAUUUUUAAUGAUUGACCUCGGAUUAGGUAGGGAUACCCGCUGAACUUAAGCAUAUCAAUAAGCGGAGGA
rnacentral:rRNA from 1 species